rnacentral:rRNA from 1 species
GAUGAACGCUAGCGGCAGGCCUAACACAUGCAAGUCGAGGGGUAGAAGGAGCUUGCUCCUUUGAGACCGGCGCACGGGUGCGUAACGCGUAUGCAAUCUGCCUUGUACUGAGGGAUAGCCCAGAGAAAUUUGGAUUAAUACCUCAUAGUAUAUAACCUUCGCAUGUUGGUUAUAUUAAAGUUCCAACGGUACAAGAUGAGCAUGCGUCCCAUUAGUUAGUUGGUAAGGUAACGGCUUACCAAGACAAUGAUGGGUAGGGGUCCUGAGAGGGAGAUCCCCCACACUGGUACUGAGACACGGACCAGACUCCUACGGGAGGCAGCAGUGAGGAAUAUUGGUCAAUGGGCGCAAGCCUGAACCAGCCAUGCCGCGUGCAGGAUGAAGCAUCUAUGGUGUGUAAACUGCUUUUAUACGGGAAGAAACACUCCUACGUGUAGGAACUUGACGGUACCGUAAGAAUAAGGAUCGGCUAACUCCGUGCCAGCCGCCGCCGUAAUAC